rnacentral:lncRNA from 1 species
UGUUUUUAAAAUGAUAAAACUUCAUUAGAUAAUUACUUCUAAUAAGAAGUCUAUUAUCCGAAAUUUUAAAAAAAUUACACUCUUGGGCAGUAAUUAGCAGUUAGGAAACCUCUAAAAUGUUAUAAAAAAAAAAUUGCAGGGUUGAAUCAUUUCUGAAAAGGUACGUAUGCAAUAUUUGAACUCUUAUAAUUCUAUCAAAACAUGAGAAACAGAACAUAAAUUUAUUCUUUUGACUUUCUAUUUCUAUAAUUUUCCUUUUCUAUAAGUUUCCUUCUAUACUAUAUCUUUCAGGAUACGGUUCUUGAUUAAAGGUAAUUAAGAAGUGCAAUCUUAUAUCAUCUUUGAGUUGAGUAUUUUAUCCUGGGGAUAGAGUUUCCAAGAGUCCUUUUACACCUCAAGGAGGAGAAAUUAUUGUCUUUACAAAAGCUUCCUGGAAGUACCUUACCCAACUGAAUUUUCUCUUUCUUUUUCUAUACUGUUUUUGUACUUCUCUCUGUUCCUUUGAAAUAGAACAGUAGGGCAAAGGAAGGAAGACUUUUAGCAAGAUGGUUGGUUGGGGGAUCAUCGGCUGCAUGUCUUGAUUCCCUGGCUCAUCCAAUUGGCUAAAUUAGAAUAGCACGAAC